rnacentral:lncRNA from 1 species
UGCUGUCCUACUCUCUGUAGACCUCUCAGAUGGCCUGGCAUCCAAGACCCCACAGGCUCUCUUUCUAGAGACUGUUUUGUCUCUUUAGCCCCCAGCUCACUGUCACCCCCAAAUUGCCUGGGUGUCAUCAAUGGAUCUUCUAUGACUUAGGAAGAAUAUCAGCUCUGCCAAGAGGAUCUCUGCAGGCUUUGCUUCCUCCAAGGCUGACCCUGGGCUGCAUGAACACGGUCACUCCAGGACAGCUGGUUCUGAAUCAGGUCUGCCCUUGCAGCCAAGCUGGAGAAGGCCAGUUGUAAUCAGUCACAGAUGGGAAGAACGGCCAGCAUAAAGAACACAGUCCCACAGCUGCACAGAAGAACAC